AUUGAACGCUGGCGGCAUGCCUUACACAUGCAAGUCGAACGGCAGCACGGGAGCAAUCCUGGUGGCGAGUGGCGAACGGGUGAGUAAUAUAUCGGAACGUGCCCAGUCGUGGGGAUAACGUAGUGAAAGCUACGCUAAUACCUCAUACGAUCUACGGAUGAAAGCGGGGGAUCGCAAGACCUCGCGCGAUUGGAGCGGCCGAUAUCAGAUUAGGUAGUUGGUGAGGUAAAGGCUCACCAAGCCAACGAUCUGUAGCUGGUCUGAGAGGACGACCAGCCACACUGGAACUGAGACACGGUCCAGACUCCUACGGGAGGCAGCAGUGGGGAAUUUUGGGACAAUGGACGCAAGUCUGAUCCAGCCAUUCCGCGUGCAGGAUGAAGGCCCUCGGGUUGUAAACUGCUUUUGUACGGAACGAAAGGUUUGUCUUAAUACGAUGAGCUCAUGACGGUACCGUAAGAAUAAGCACCGGCUAACUACGUGCCA
rnacentral:rRNA from 1 species